rnacentral:piRNA from 1 species
UGGUAUAUAGGUCGUUGAUCUUAAUGCUG